CACGGUAAGACGUUCACAUGCAACCGCAUUUGACACUAUCGCAGACACGAUAGCAUCUCCGGCGAGAAUGAAAUAAAUGGGCAAGGUGCUUAUUAUUGGGCGCAGAAUCUUUAACCGUGGCUUCGAGCCAACUAUCAACACUACUACACUUCUGGAUUACUCAAAGGAAUAAAGAUAAACCUAUUUAUUUUAAAUGGUAUUAUAUUCGGAGUUUUAUCACAUUUUUUAAAAGAAAACUCGAAAUUUAAAAUUAAAUUGAAAAGAGAUAUAAACCAGUGACUUGCAGUGCCGAUUAGAUUCGAUGUAUAAACGCGAAACUAAAUUAUGAGUGAAGUAUAAAGUACAACAACGCGUAAUGCAGAUAGAACGGAGUUAUAGGAAACCAUAUUAAAAGUUAUUCCAAAAACUUGGUCGGCGUUUCGACGCGGCGAACGAAGGAAGACGGCGAAAUGGAGGGAGAGCAUAGAUGCGCCAACUUCGGUGCCUAAUGGCCGUUUCCAGAGCUUUACUUGGAACUAUCGUCAUUUUAGUUAUAUGCAUCGACACUUAUAACGAGGGACCCUGGGACUUUUCGCUCCGUUAGUGUAAUGAUUUCACUCAAUUUUUACUUU
rnacentral:misc_RNA from 1 species